CCCUUAGAUGUUCUGGGCGGCCCGCGCACUACAUUGGCACUGGCAACAAGAUCCUAGAUCUGAUAUUUCGGGGUAUUCUACCAACUGGUGUCGUGACUGGGAUUAACCCCUGCAAUUAUUGGUUAUGAACGAGGAAUUCCUUGUAAUCACGGUUUAUCAACCCGUGUUGAAUGCGUCCCUGCCCUUUGUACACACCGCCCGUCGCUCCUACCGAUGAAUCGUCCGGUGAAGUUCAUGGAGUCGCGGCUGCUCCAGCUGUUUUCGAAGUGAAAUGGACCUCAUGAUUUAGAGGAAGGAGAAGUCGCANCA
rnacentral:rRNA from 1 species